CUAGACUUGAAACACCUGUUCCCGUACGAUCACUGGCGUUAAGCAACGUCGAGUCUUGUCGGUACCUUGAUGGGUAAACGACUGAGGAUACCAUGUGCUGCAAG